rnacentral:rRNA from 1 species
AGAGUUUGAUCAUGGCUCAGGAUGAACGCUGGCGGCGUGCUUAACACAUGCAAGUCGAACGAUGAUGGGAGCUUGCUCCUGGAUUAGUGGCGAACGGGUGAGUAACACGUGAGUAACCUGCCCUUAACUCUGGGAUAAGCCUGGGAAACUGGGUCUAAUACCGGAUAUGACUCCUCAUCGCAUGGUGGGGGGUGGAAAGCUUUAUUGUGGUUUUGGAUGGACUCGCGGCCUAUCAGCUUGUUGGUGAGGUAAUGGCUUACCAAGGCGACGACGGGUAGCCGGCCUGAGAGGGUGACCGGCCACACUGGGACUGAGACACGGCCCAGACUCCUACGGGAGGCAGCAGUGGGGAAUAUUGCACAAUGGGCGCAAGCCUGAUGCAGCGACGCCGCGUGAGGGAUGACGGCCUUCGGGUUGUAAACCUCUUUCAGUAGGGAAGAAGCGAAAGUGACGGUACCUGCAGAAGAAGCGCCGGCUAACUACGUGCCAGCAGCCGCGGUAAUACGUAGGGCGCAAGCGUUAUCCGGAAUUAUUGGGCGUAAAGAGCUCGUAGGCGGUUUGUCGCGUCUGCCGUGAAAGUCCGGGGCUCAACUCCGGAUCUGCGGUGGGUACGGGCAGACUAGAGUGAUGUAGGGGAGACUGGAAUUCCUGGUGUAGCGGUGAAAUGCGCAGAUAUCAGGAGGAACACCGAUGGCGAAGGCAGGUCUCUGGGCAUUAACUGACGCUG